rnacentral:rRNA from 1 species
UGAGUACGAGAUGCUACGGCAUUGAAGCAGUCUAUGUCAUACUUCCAAGAAAAGCUUGCACUGUCAUAAACAAAGAAUGCCUGUACCAUAACCGACACAGGUGGGUAGGUAGAGUAUACUAAGGGGCGCGAGAUAACUCUCUCUAAGGAACUCGGCAAAAUGACUCCGUAACUUCGGGAGAAGGAGUGCCUUAUUUUUAAGGUUGCAAUAACAAGAUCCAAGCAACUGUUUAUCAAAAACACAGGUCUCCGCUAAGUCGUAAGACGAUGUAUGGGGGCUGACGCCUGCCCAGUGCCAGAAGGUUAAAGAAGUUGGUUAGCAUUCGCGAAGCUGAUAACUGAAGCCCUGGUGAACGGCGGCCGUAACAAUAACGGUCCUAAGGUAGCGAAAUUCCUUGUCGGGUAAGUUCCGACCCGCACGAAAGGCGUAAUGAUUUGGAUACUGUCUCGGAGAGGGACUCGGUGAAAUAGACUUGUCUGUGAAGAUGCGGACUACCUGCACCUGGACAGAAAGACCCUAUGAAGCUUUACUGUAACUUGAAAUUGAAAUUGGACUUUAGUUGCGCAGGAUAGGUGGGAGGCGUUGAGAAUAUUCUUGCGGGAGUAUUGGAGCCAUCAGUGAGAUACCACUCUUCUAAUGUUAGAUUUCUAACUUUGUAUCAUUAUCUGGUCAAAGAACAGUUUCAGGCGGGCAGUUUGACUGGGGCGGUCGCCUCCUAAAGGGUAACGGAGGCGCACAAAGGUUUCCUCUGAACGAGUAGAAAUCGUAUCUAGAGUGUAAAGGCAUAAGGAAGCUUGACUGUGAGACCUACAAGUCGAGCAGGGACGAAAUCGGUCUUAGUGAUCUGACGGUGCUGAGUGGAAAGGCCGUCACUCAACGGAUAAAAGUUACUCUAAGGAUAACAGGCUAUCUCCCCCAAGAGUUCACAUCGACGGGGAGGUUUGGCACCUCGAUGUCGGCUCAUCGCAUCCUGGGGCGGUAGUACGUCCCAAGGGUUGGGCUGUUCGCCCAUGAAAGCGGUACGCGAGCUGGGUUCAGAACGUCGUGAGACAGUUCGGUCCAUAUCCGGUGUAGGCGUUAGAAUAUUGAGAGGAGCCUUCUCUAGUACGAGAGGACCGAGGAGGACAUACCUCUAGUGUACCAGUUAUCGUGCCAACGGUAAACGCUGGGUAGCUAUGUAUGGAGUGGAUAACCGCUGAAAGCAUCUAAGUGGGAAGCCCACCUCAAGAUAAGUAUUCUG